rnacentral:snRNA from 1 species
UUGCUUGGGCAGCACAUAUACUAAAACUGGAGGUGUACAGGGAAGAUUAGUGUGGUCCCUGUGCAAGGAUGACACAUAAAUUCGUGAAGUGUUCCAUAUUAAA